GAGUGAGGCCUUUUCUCAAAUAACAACUGCCAGAAAAGCGCUGGAAGAUUCCUAAGAUUCAAGAGUCCAAGGCUCCAGGCUCUGGCAAGUCACAAAUGGAGGAAAAUGACCCCAGAGAAGGUCAUGAUCCCUGGAAAGCAGUCACAGGAAAACUGGAGUUGGAUUCAAUAAAGUCUCAAUCUUUCCUGUCCUACAAGAUUGAGGAUGUCAGAGAUGUCUUUCACUAAGUUGUGACUGAAUAAAAAUUUCUAAGAAAUGAGGGAGAGUAACUAGUUAAAGGAACCAUGAAGGAAAAGGACCCCCGUAUCCCAGACACAUCCCAGAGUCAAUAAGCAUCUGACAUUUAGAAAACAAGCACUCCACAGAGAAGAAACUGCCAGGAGGAGGAGGGAAGAAAGAUUUAUUCACCUCGGGGUGCAUGUGAGUUAUGCAGUGCUUUUCUUACUAGCACAAUAAAUGAUCACCAAAGAACUAUGUACAGUUGUGUAUGAAAAUACAGUUCUAGAUCUUCAUCUUUCCUCCCCAAAACCGAAG
rnacentral:lncRNA from 1 species